rnacentral:rRNA from 1 species
CAGUCGCCGCGGGUAUACGGAGGAUCCAAGCGUUAUCCGGAAUCAUUGGGUUUAAAGGGUCCGUAGGCGGUCUUGUAAGUCAGUGGUGAAAGCCCAUCGCUCAACGGUGGAACGGCCAUUGAUACUGCAGGACUUGAAUUAUUGGGAAGUAACUAGAAUAUGUAGUGUAGCGGUGAAAUGCUUAGAGAUUACAUGGAAUACCAAUUGCGAAGGCAGGUUACUACCAAUUGAUUGACGCUGAUGGACGAAAGCGUGGGUAGCGAACAGGAUUAGAUACCCGGGUAGUCCCUGUCUCUUAUAC